rnacentral:rRNA from 1 species
AUUGAACGCUGGCGGCAGGCCUAACACAUGCAAGUCGAACGAGUGGCGGACGUGUGAGUAAUGUCUGGGAAACUGCCCGAUGGAGGGGGAUAAUUACUGGAAACGAUAGCUAAUACAGCAUGCCAUAGCAUGUGCCCAGAUGGGAUUAGCGAGUAGGUGGGGUAAUGGCUCAACUAGGCGACGAUCCCUCGCUGGUCUGAGAGGAUGACCAGCCACACUGGAACUGAGACACGGUCCAGACUCCUACGGGAGGCAGCAGUGGGGAAUAUGGCACAAUGGGCGCAAGCCUGAUACAGCCAUGCCGCGUGUAUGAAGAAGGCCUUCGGGUUGUAAAGUACUUUCAGCGAGGAGGCGUUACUCGCAGAAGAAGCACCGUCUAACUCCGUGCCAGCAGCCGCGGUAAUUC